rnacentral:rRNA from 1 species
UUUCGCAAUGCCCGAAAGGGUGACGAUGCGACGCCGCGUGAGCGAAGAAGGCCCUAGGGUUGUAAAGCUCUGUCAGGGGUUAAGAAAUGUAGAUAGGUUAAUACCCUGUUUAUUUGACAAAAGCCCCAAAGGAAGCCACGGCUAACUCUGUGCCAGCAGCCGCGGUAAUACAGAGGUGGCAAGCGUUGUUCGGUAUUAUUGGGCGUAAAGAGCACGUAGGUGGUUUUGUAAGUCAGAUGUGAAAGCCUUCUGUUCAAAGGAAGAACGGCAUCUGAAACUGCAGAUCUUGAGUGUAGGAGGGGAGAGUGGAACUUCUGGUGGAGCGGUGAAAUGCGUAGAUAUCAGAAGGAACGUCGGCGGCGAAAGCGACUCCCUGGCCUAUUACUGACACUGAGUGUGCGAAAGUUAGGGGAGCAAACGGGAUUAGAUACCCCGGUAGUCCUAACCGUAAACGAUGGGCACUAAGUAGAGGGGUUUU